rnacentral:rRNA from 1 species
CCUACGGGAGGCUGCAGUGGGGAAUAUUGCACAAUGGGCGCAAGCCUGAUGCAGCCAUGCCGUGUGUGUGAAGAAGGCCUUCGGGUUGUAAAGCACUUUCAGCGGGGAGGAAGGCGUUAAGGUUAAUAACCUUGGCGAUUGACGUUACCCGCAGAAGAAGCACCGGCUAACUCCGUGCCAGCAGCCGCGGUAAUACGGAGGGUGCAAGCGUUAAUCGGAAUUACUGGGCGUAAAGCGCACGCAGGCGGUCUGUCAAGUCGGAUGUGAAAUCCCCGGGCUCAACCUGGGAACUGCAUUCGAAACUGGCAGGCUAGAGUCUUGUAGAGGGGGGUAGAAUUCCAGGUGUAGCGGUGAAAUGCGUAGAGAUCUGGAGGAAUACCGGUGGCGAAGGCGGCCCCCUGGACAAAGACUGACGCUCAGGUGCGAAAGCGUGGGGAGCAAACAGGAUUAGAUACCCGUGUAGUC